CGGAGGAAAAGAAACCAACCGGGAUUGCCUUAGUAACGGCGAGUGAAGCGGCAAAAGCUCAAAUUUGAAAUCUGGUACCUUCGGUGCCCGAGUUGUAAUUUGGAGAGGGCAACUUUGGGGCCGUUCCUUGUCUAUGUUCCUUGGAACAGGACGUCAUAGAGGGUGAGAAUCCCGUGUGGCGAGGAGUGCGGUUCUUUGUAAAGUGCCUUCGAAGAGUCGAGUUGUUUGGGAAUGCAGCUCUAAGUGGGUGGUAAAUUCCAUCUAAAGCUAAAUAUUGGCGAGAGACCGAUAGCGAACAAGUACAGUGAUGGAAAGAUGAAAAGAACUUUGAAAAGAGAGUGAAAAAGUACGUGAAAUUGUUGAAAGGGAAGGGCAUUUGAUCAGACAUGGUGUUUUGUGCCCUCUGCUCCUUGUGGGUAGGGGAAUCUCGCAUUUCACUGGGCCAGCAUCAGUUUUGGUGGCAGGAUAAAUCCAUAGGAAUGUAGCUUGCCUCGGUAAGUAUUAUAGCCUGUGGGAAUACUGCCAGCUGGGACUGAGGACUGCGACGUAA
rnacentral:rRNA from 1 species